rnacentral:siRNA from 1 species
CACCACUUCACAAGACCACUCGAC